rnacentral:rRNA from 1 species
UACGGAGGGUGCAAGCGUUAUCCGGAUUUACUGGGUUUAAAGGGUGCGUAGGUGGGUCUGUAAGUCAGUGGUGAAAUCUUCAAGCUUAACUUGGAAACUGCCAUUGAUACUAUCAAUCUUGAAUAUCGUUGAGGUAAGCGGAAUAUGUCAUGUAGCGGUGAAAUGCUUAGAUAUGACAUAGAACACCGAUAGCGGAGGCAGCUUACUAAGCGAUCAUUGACACUGAGGCACGAAAGCGUGGGGAGCAAACAGG